GUCUACAGCUGUGCUCCCCUGAAUAAGCCCAAUCCCAUCUGAUCUCGGAAGCUAAGCAGGUUUGGGCCUGAUUAGUACUUGGAUGGGAAACCACCUAGGAAGACCAGGUUCUGUAAGCA
ensembl:rRNA 5S_rRNA 5S ribosomal RNA